GAUGAACGCUGGCGGCGUGCCUAAUACAUGCAAGUCGAGCGAACAGACGAGGAGCUUGCUCCUCUGACGUUAGCGGCGGACGGGUGAGUAACACGUGGAUAACCUACCUAUAAGACUGGGAUAACUUCGGGAAACCGGAGCUAAUACCGGAUAAUAUAUUUAACCGCAUGGUUCAAUAGUGAAAGACGGUUUUGCUGUCACUUAUAGAUGGAUCCGCGCCGCAUUAGCUAGUUGGUAAGGUAACGGCUUACCAAGGCAACGAUGUGUAGCCGACCUGAGAGGGUGAUCGGCCACACUGGAACUGAGACACGGUCCAGACUCCUACGGGAGGCAGCAGUAGGGAAUCUUCCGCAAUGGGCGAAAGCCUGACGGAGCAACGCCGCGUGAGUGAUGAAGGUCUUCGGAUCGUAAAACUCUGUUAUUAGGGAAGAACAAAUGUGUAAGUAACUAUGCACGUCUUGACGGUACCUAAUCAGAAAGCCACGGCUAACUACGUG
rnacentral:rRNA from 1 species